AGUCGUAACAAGGUUUCCGUAGGUGAACCUGCGGAAGGAUCAUUAGUGAAUCUAGGACGUCCAACUUAACUUGGAGUCCGAACUCUCACUUUCUAACCCUGUGCAUCUGUUUUAAAAUUGGCUAGUAGCUCUUCGGAGUGAACCACCAUUUUUCACUUAUACAAACACAAAGUCUAUGAAUGUAAGCAAAUUUAUAACAAAACAAAACUUUCAACAACGGAUCUCUUGGCUCUCGCAUCGAUGAAGAACGCAGCGAAAUGCGAUACGUAAUGUGAAUUGCAGAAUUCAGUGAAUCAUCGAAUCUUUGAACGCACCUUGCGCUCCUUGGUAUUCCGAGGAGCAUGCCUGUUUGAGUGUCAUGAAAUCUUCAACCCACCUCUUUCUUAGUGAAUCUGGUGGUGCUUGGUUUCUGAGCGCUGCUCUGCUUCGGCUUAGCUCGUUCGUAAUGCAUUAGCAUCCGCAACCGAAACUUCGGAUUGACUUGGCGUAAUAGACUAUUCGCUGAGGAUUCCAGACUUGUUCUGGAGCCGAGUUGGGUUAAAGGAAGCUUCUAAUCCUAAAGUCUAUUUUUUGAUUAGAUCUCAAAUCAGGUCGGACUACCCGCUGAACUUAAGCAUAUCAAUAUAAAAGUCG
rnacentral:rRNA from 1 species